GCCAUCACGCCUGCCCCGCCCCCGCUCCGUUCCUCUUGCUCUGGCGUCCUGGAGUAGGAACCGGGCGAAUCGCCGCCGGGGCCAUCCACCGAGAGUAGAGACGGAGGCAACUCUGGUGCGGGGAGGUCUCCGCGCCGCUGACUGCGCUGUUACCGUACUGCUUUGUAAUGUCUUCACCCGACAUUGAUGCCCGGGUAACUGGUAAUUGCCUACUUGCCGAGGACGGAUUUCUUGUUCGAUUUUGGAAUGCAAAGAAGUCAAGAGUCAUUUCUGAUGCCUGCACAUUUGACAUUUCUAUCUAGAAACUUGUGUUAGGUGUGUGGCAGCAGGUUUCAGUUUCAGAUACUCCUACUCUUUUAGAGAGCGUCGCUGGAGGUUUGAUCCGCACACUGGAGUUUGGUGCCAAUCUUACACGAAUGGUUGUGGAAGUAGCCAAAGUAACAUUCCAAGCUUUGGCAGCCAGCAUAGUGUGAACAUUCUCCAUCAUCUCUGGGAUCUUCAUUGCAGGAGUACUCAAGUUAUGGGUUCUGUGACGAUGGAGGCAUGGUGGUGUGAAUGGUAGCGAGAGUAGAGGAAAUGGUGGUGCAGAGCCCGAUGGAACCAGUAGUAGAGGAACUCGACAGGCCCCAUGUGAAGAAGCACAGUGAUGAUGGCCCCAUCAGUUCUCCAGACCGGGAGGAGCCUGACAUUGGGGAUCAUCGCAUAGGCUAGAUAGAACUCGAGCCCGUUGAAGAUGAUUUGGUCAUCCCUGUAUAGAACGGAACUCUCCCUGUCCACCUGCUCGAACUCAAUACUACGGUCAACAAUCACGUUCUUCCUGCGAGCCAUCUGAUAGCGAGACAAGCUGAUCCAGAUUUGGUUGUGGAUCAUCCUUAGCAGCAGUGCUGGUAGCAUGACGACAUAUGCUGGGUCAAGGUCUCCCCACCCCUUGGUGGCCACCCUGCGGGCAGUGUGCAGCACUGCAGGUGCCAGGACCAGUCAUUGAUAUGUACUGACUGCCACAAGUGAUUCAGAGUUGAUACAAUAAAAAGUUCGGGCGUCAUCAGGCCAAUGUGAGCUGAUUAAUUUUAGCAGAAGAUUUGAUGAACCCUCUGGUUGGAGAAUGGAGAAGGCUUUCCUAGUACGGUGGAGAAGAGUGAAGCAAAUGGAUCAGGACCGUGUUUGGUUCGCAGGUGAAAAAUUUUUCACCUAGGAAAUCUUGCAUGCAUGACGUACUAAAUAAAGUCUAUUUGCAAAAAAAUUUCACAGAUAGGUGCAAUUUUUCAAGCCGAAUCUAAUGAGUCUAAUUAAUUCAUGAUUGUAACAG